rnacentral:misc_RNA from 1 species
ACUUGGGGUACCAGGGCAGGCGUUCACUUUCUCGCAGUGUCAUAACAAGGUGGCUGUUGCUGAGGCAUCUGGUUUGACUGGUGAAAUAUCGCAAGUCGAAGAUUUCAUCAAAGAGCAUACAUACUGCUAGUGGCAGCUUUGCAGUGCAUAAUUUCUCUCAUUGGAACGGGAGGGCGAACUAUGUACUAGGAUUAUCUUUGGAAACUAAUAGUAAGAAUGACUGACCGAGAAUCAUGUAUUUGUCCUUCAAAAUAUACAUGGAUCGAGAUAAG